rnacentral:rRNA from 1 species
UACGUAGGCAGCAAGCGUUGUUCGGAAUUACUGGGCGUAAAGAGUGUGUAGGCGGUGCUCUAAGUCUGUUGUGAAAUCUCCCGGCUUAACCGGGAGGGUGCAGCGGAAACUGGUGUGCUCGAGGGUGGGAGAGGUAAGCGGAAUUCCUGGUGUAGCGGUGAAAUGCGUAGAUAUCAGGAGGAACACCAAUAGCGAAGGCAGCUCGCUGGGACGUUACUGACACUGAGGCGCGAAAGCGUGGGGAGCGAACAGG